AGCGGCGGAUGGGUGAGUAACACGUGGGGAACCUGCCCCUAAGUCUGGGAUACCAUUUGGAAACAGGUGCUAAUACCGGAUAAUAAAGCAGAUCGCAUGAUCAGCUUUUGAAAGGCGGCGUAAGCUGUCGCUAAGGGAUGGCCCCGCGGUGCAUUAGCUAGUUGGUAAGGUAACGGCUUACCAAGGCGACGAUGCAUAGCCGAGUUGAGAGACUGAUCGGCCACAUUGGGACUGAGACACGGCCCAAACUCCUACGGGAGGCAGCAGUAGGGAAUCUUCCACAAUGGACGCAAGUCUGAUGGAGCAACGCCGCGUGAGUGAAGAAGGUUUUCGGAUCGUAAAGCUCUGUUGUUGGUGAAGAAGGAUAGAGGUAGUAACUGGCCUUUAUUUGACGGUAAUCAACCAGAAAGUCACGGCUAACUACGUGCCAGCAGCCGCGGUAAUACGUAGGUGGCAAGCGUUGUCCGGAUUUAUUGGGCGUAAAGCGAGCGCAGGCGGAAAAAUAAGUCUAAUGUGAAAGCCCUCGGCUUAACCGAGGAACUGCAUCGGAAACUGUUUUUCUUGAGUGCAGAAGAGGAGAGUGGAACUCCAUGUGUAGCGGUGGAAUGCGUAGAUAUAUGGAAGAACACCAGUGGCGAAGGCGGCUCUCUGGUCUGCAACUGACGCUGAGGCUCGAAAGCAUGGGUAGCGAACAGGAAUUAGAUACCCCUGGUAGUCCAUGCCGUAAACGAU
rnacentral:rRNA from 1 species